rnacentral:ncRNA from 1 species
AUAUGAGGCCCAGUUAGUGGCCUCGCUAACCUGGGGAGGUUAGGUAUCCAUCUGGGUAGCGGUAGCUCCGCCCCUCUGGAGAGACGGCGACCAGAGGCCGGGUUGUCAGACCCGGUCGGGACCGUCUC